rnacentral:lncRNA from 1 species
CGGGGAUCCCGGCCCCGCGUGCGCGUGACGUCGCCGCGUCUCGCGCCGCUCCGGGCCGGCGGCGGCCCCGGUGAGUGCGGGGAGGACACCGGGGACAGCGACCCGGCCCGGCCCGGGUACCGCCCCCGCCGUUUGUCCCCCCGGGUGACAGCGGCCGGGCUGCGCGGCGGGCGGUCCCCGGUACCGGCGGGCGGUGCCUGGUACCGGCUCGGGACUCGGUGGGUGGCGCGGGCGAAGCGAACGGAGCGCGGAGCGGCGGAGGAUGCUCGACACCUCCCUGUGCCAGGCCCCGCUGGCUGCUCCGACUUGGUUUUGGGAGGCGAGGCCAUGCUGCUCCCUCCUGCUCAGGCGCCAAGCAACGGCUCUGACCACCCACAUUCCCGCAAGGGAAUAUUUCUGCAGUUUUGUGAGGGAGGAGCUGUGUUUGCAUCAAUCGUGGUGAGUGAACAGGCGUGUGCAACCCUCAGCUCCCCUCGCCCACUGCCCCUCUGCCAUGGGGAUCCCCAGGACAUACUCUGGAUGAGGGCUGAGAGUUGGAGUGACUUGAUCAGAAGCAUGGACAAGAAUCACAGAAUUGUCACAAAAUCGUGGAAUAGUUUGAGUUGGAAGGGAUCUUAAAGGUGCUCUAGCCCCCUUCCAUGGGCAGGGACACCUUCCACUAGACCUGGUUGCUCAGAGCUUCAUCCAGCCUGGCCUUGGACACUUCCAGGGAUGGGGCAGCCACAGUUCCCUGGGCAAGAGGAGCUGAGGGAGAGCUCAGUGCUUUCCCUGCGCCCCAUCCUCCAGCAGGACAGUGGAGUCACCGGUCAGGGCACAAGGGGAACCAACGUGGGAGUGUCACCAUCAGUGGACCUGUGCUGGCUUUGCCUUUGUCCCCCUGAGGCAGCAACUGCAGAGUAAUUAAGAAAGGGUGAUGCUCUGUGGGUUAAUUAAAAGUCAGGAGCUCCCUCUGAAGUGCAGAGCUUGUGUCCCAUUUCAGCACAAGCGUUUCUGACAUGCUGGAGCCUUGCUGCUGUGCAGGGACACAGUGCCAGGUGCUGGGGAGUGGGUAGGUGCCUCCAGCCCUGUGUCCUGUCAGCAGCCUUCCCCUUGGGAAUUCCAUAAUUAAUCUGCCACUCUGAGCUGAAGGCCAUGUCUCUGUGAGGUUGGCAGGGUGAAUGCUGAGGUUUCCUUCCCCCGACAAUAAAAUGUUGUUGCUAUGCUUGGUACGAGGGAUG